rnacentral:lncRNA from 1 species
UCCUUUAUCCCACUUAGACUUGGUCCUGCUUCUCUGUUUCUUUUUUAAUUAUUAUUAUUAUCAUUAUUUCUCCACAUGGCCCACACCCAUUGGGAUCUUAAUGCCUUGACAAAUAAGCCAUGGCUUGACCACAUGUGAGCUCCAUCCCUCCAAGUUGUUGCGACCCCAAGUGUUUAAUUAAUUCUGUGCAGGUGGCAAUGUUUUGUGGGGUUGACUUCAACUGUGAGGCGCAGAUACCCAUACAUCAUGGCACCUUCUUACUGAAGAGAAUCCUAUUGCAAGUUUUCCACAUUGUGGCUCUUUACUCCAUCAUUGAAUCAGUCCAUUUGAUUGUGAUUAUCUUCAUGACAAAAAGAAUGUCUAUCCAUUGUGCAGAGAAAUUAAAUUCACCUAGAGUUUGGCAUCAACAACAGAAAUUCAUAACCAACAAUGUGAAUUGACUGAAAAUUGCUCAACUCAUAUUUCUAACAAGGUUGAACAUAAAGAUAUAAAUGUGUAUUUGUAACUGUAUAACUAUAAGAAUAACUAUAUAAAUAUAUAUAUAUAUAUAUAUAUAUAUAUAUAUAAUUUUAUAAGAACUUUGUUGCAUGUCAUAUUGGUUCCUUACAAUAUCACUAUAAUGCAUUCACAUGUUGCAGACCUAGCAAGUCCAUGGGUUUCAACUUCACAAAGCAACUGUAUCAACUUACUAAACAAAUGAGAAACAUCCAAAACACAAGCAUAACAGUAUUGAGUUAUUGGUUGGGGAAGGUAUUCAUGUGAAGCAUUCCAGUGAACAUAAUGGUAUGCUCAGUGAGCGUUCAUUCCAAGCAUAGGAUUGAACGAUUCACAGGCACUAACCUCGACAGAUGCGACGUUGAGUUGGCCCUCUCGCUGGAUCCGCAACGAGAAAGCUGAGAAUCGGAAGUCCCGUCGGAGGCUGUGAAGUUCUAGCGGAUACCACAGUUCAACACAGUCGCAAUGAUGCUCCGCAUGUUGUUUUGUCUACGAAUGCUGAAAUUUUGGAAAGCGAAACGAUAAUUAGGGGGGAUACAGUCCGUCUUAAUUUAGCUCCUUCAAGAUGAGCGGGUCCGAGAAGUCAGCACGCCUACAUUGUCUGGCUUUGGUGGCACCAAGUGCGCCACCUCAAACAGAGAAAAAACCAGCAUAAAGAAUAAGAAAAAGUAUCAUAUCUUCGACUAGUUUGUGCUAAUUCGGGAGUGGCGAUAUCGCCCCAUGAGAGUGGAUCUGCCGAAAGCGUUGAAAAAGACAACUGGGCUCAGUGCAUGUGCUCGGCACCAAUUGCUUGCAUUGUUAACCAACGGAAGCCGCAGCCUUCCCCCAUCCUACCUAUUCUUUUUCCCAUAGAGGCAGAGAAACCCAG